rnacentral:tRNA from 1 species
GCGCGGUAGCUCAGCUGGUUAGAGCGCAGGAUUCAUAAUCCUGAGGUCGGGAGUUCAAGUCUCCCCCGCG